UUGCCAAACGGAUAGUUUUUUUAUAUAUUUUUUUUUUUUUCCCGUAGGAGAACGCUGGCGGCGUGCCUAAUACAUGCAAGUCGAGCGAACUGAUUAGAAGCUUGCUUCUAUGACGUUAGCGGCGGACGGGUGAGUAACACGUGGGCAACCUGCCUGUAAGACUGGGAUAACUUCGGGAAACCGAAGCUAAUACCGGAUAGGAUCUUCUCCUUCAUGGGAGAUGAUUGAAAGAUGGUUUCGGCUAUCACUUACAGAUGGGCCCGCGGUGCAUUAGCUAGUUGGUGAGGUAACGGCUCACCAAGGCAACGAUGCAUAGCCGACCUGAGAGGGUGAUCGGCCACACUGGGACUGAGACACGGCCCAGACUCCUACGGGAGGCAGCAGUAGGGAAUCUUCCGCAAUGGACGAAAGUCUGACGGAGCAACGCCGCGUGAGUGAUGAAGGCUUUCGGGUCGUAAAACUCUGUUGUUAGGGAAGAACAAGUACAAGAGUAACUGCUUGUACCUUGACGGUACCUAACCAGAAAGCCACGGCUAACUACGUGCCAGCAGCCGCGGUAAUACGUAGGGGGCAAACGUUAUCCGGAAUUAUUCGGGCGUAAAGCGCGCGCAGGCGGUUUCUUAAGUCUGAUGUGAAAGCCCACGUGCUCAACCGAUGGAGGGUCAUUGGAAACUGGGGAACUUGAGUGCAGAAGAGAAAAACGGAAUUCCACGUGUAGCGGUGAAAUGCGUAGAGAUGUGGAGGAACACCAGUGGCGAAGGCGGCUUUUUGGUCUGUAACUGACGCUGAGGCGCGAAAAGAGCGGGGAGCAAACAGGAUUAGAUACCCUGGUAGUCCACGCCGUAAACGAUGAGUGCUAAGUGUUAGAGGGUUUCCGCCCUUUAGUGCUGCAGCUAACGCAUUAAGCACUCCGCCUGGGGAGUACGGUCGCAAGACUGAAACUCAAAGGAAUUGACGGGGGCCCGCACAAGCGGUGGAGCAUGUGGUUUAAUUCGAAGCAACGCGAAGAACCUUACCAGGUCUUGACAUCCUCUGACAACUCUAGAGAUAGAGCGUUCCCCUUCGGGGGACAGAGUGACAGGUGGUGCAUGGUUGUCGUCAGCUCGUGUCGUGAGAUGUUGGGUUAAGUCCCGCAACGAGCGCAACCCUUGAUCUUAGUUGCCAGCAUUUAGUUGGGCACUCUAAGGUGACUGCCGGUGACAAACCGGAGGAAGGUGGGGAUGACGUCAAAUCAUCAUGCCCCUUAUGACCUGGGCUACACACGUGCUACAAUGGAUGGUACAAAGGGCUGCAAGACCGCGAGGUCAAGCCAAUCCCAUAAAACCAUUCUCAGUUCGGAUUGUAGGCUGCAACUCGCCUACAUGAAGCUGGAAUCGCUAGUAAUCGCGGAUCACAUGCCGGGGGGGAAAAAACCUUUCCCGGGGCCUUUGUACACACCGGCCCGUCACACCACGAAGAGUUUGUAACACCCCGAAGUCCGGUGGAGUAACCCGAAAGGAGCUAGCCGGCCUAAGGUGGGACAGAUGAUUGGGGUGAUCAGAAAAAGGGCCCCCAAAAAAAACAAAAAAAAAAGGGGGUCAGU
rnacentral:rRNA from 2 species